rnacentral:rRNA from 1 species
UACGUAGGCAGCAAGCGUUGUUCGGAGUUACUGGGCGUAAAGAGUGCGUAGGUGGUGCCCUAAGUCUGUUGUGAAAUCUCCCGGCUUAACUGGGAGGGUGCGGUGGAAACUGGGGUGCUUGAGUGUGGGAGAGGUAAGCGGAAUUCCUGGUGUAGCGGUGAAAUGCGCAGAUAUCAGGAAGAACACCCGUGGCUAAGGCGGCUCUCUAGUACGGUACUGACGCUGAGACGCGAAAGCGUGGGGAGCGAACAGG